UCCAAUCACCAGGAGCGCCAGGCCUUGCCCCGGGCCGACAGGAGAGCCUCGGCCCUGAGAGGAGGCGGGGACGGGACGCUGCCGCCGCCUUGUCACUGUGGAGGAUCCUGGAGGAGCCCGGCGGGGAGACUGGGGCCUGUUAGCGAAGCCAGGCCGCAUGAAGGCAAAGGCUUGAGCUGGAAGAAGGAGCAGACUGAGUUCUGACGACACCACCGGAGCCCUGGAUCCAGCCGCGCCUGAAGCUGGGCCUGCGCUGCCGAGACCGCAGGUCAGGAGCGCACCAACCGCCCCGCUUUUUCCUGAGCAAAUCUGAGCACGCACGGGGUAGCAGGAGAAGGGGAAGGACUCUAAGCUCUGGAUGAAAAUCUGCUAAAUUUCCCACGUUGCUGAUGCUUGGCACUGUCCAGGGUCCAGGUCUGCAGCUUCGACCCAGAGAAUCAUGCUCCGCCCCUGGCAGAGACGGCGACCCAUGGGCACAGCACAGGCUCGGACCCGGGUUCCCUGGUAGGUGAGCCGCCCUUCUGCGUCAUGGAGAUGACAGUCACAGCUCAGCCGUGACAGGACUGGGACCCCUCACCCACUGCACCCACCCGGGGACAGGUUUGGGAGCUGGACCAUCUCAGUAUGACAGUUCUGUUCAAGGUCAUGCUCAGCCCAGCUCCCAGAAUGCUCCUGGCAGAGCCUGCAGAACUGAGAAAAGAGUUUCUGCAUGAAUUAAAAAUGUAUUAAGGCUUUGAAA